GUUUUAAUAGUUUAACAAAAACAUUGGUCUUGUAAAUCAAAAAUUAGAUUUAUUCUAUUAAAACU
rnacentral:tRNA from 1 species